UACGUAGGGUGCAAGCGUUAAUCGGAAUUACUGGGCGUAAAGGGCGCGUAGGCGGCCAUCUAAGUCAGACGUGAAAUCCCCCGGCUUAACCUGGGAACUGCGUCUGAUACUGGACGGCUCGAGUUUGGGAGAGGGAUGCAGAAUUCCAGGUGUAGCGGUGAAAUGCGUAGAUAUCUGGAGGAAUACCGGUGGCGAAGGCGGCAUCCUGGACUAAUACUGACGCUGAGGCGCGAAAGCUAGGGGAGCAAACGGG
rnacentral:rRNA from 1 species